rnacentral:rRNA from 1 species
UUGCCCUAGUAACGGCGAGUGAAGCGGCAACAGCUCAAAUUUGAAAUCUGGCUCUUUCAGAGUCCGAGUUGUAAUUUGCAGAGGGCGCUUUGGCGUUGGCAGCGGUCCAAGUUCUUUGGAACAGGACGUCACAGAGGGUGAGAAUCCCGUACGUGGUCGCUAGCCUUCGCCGUGUAAAGCCCCUUCGACGAGUCGAGUUGUUUGGGAAUGCAGCUCUAAAUGGGAGGUAAAUUUCUUCUAAAGCUAAAUACUGGCCAGAGACCGAUAGCGCACAAGUAGAGUGAUCGAAAGAUGAAAAGCACUUUGGAAAGAGAGUCAAAUAGCACGUGAAAUUGUUGAAAGGGAAGCGCUUGCAGCCAGACUUGCCUGUAGUUGCUUAUCUGGACUUUUGUCCGGUGCACUCUUCUGCGGGCAGGCCAGCAUCAGUUUGGGCGGUUGGAUAAAGGUCUCUGUCAUGUACCUCCUCUCGGGGAGGCCUUAUAGGGGAGACGACAUGCAACCAGCCUGGACUGAGGUCCGCGCAUCUGCUAGGAUGCUGGCGUAAUGGCUGUAAGCGGCCCGUCUUGAAACACGGACCAAGGAGUCUAACAUCUAUGCGAGUGUUUGGGUGUCAAGCCCAGACGCGUAAUGAAAGUGAACGGAGGUGGGAACCCUUUGGGUGCACCAUCGACCGAUCCUGAUGUCUUCGGAUGGAUUUGAGUAAGAGCAUGGCUGUUGGGACCCGAAAGAUGGUGAACUAUGCUUGAAUAGGGUGAAGCCAGAGGAAACUCUGGUGGAGGCUCGCAGCGGUUCUGACGUGCAAAUCGAUCGUCAAAUUUGGGCAUAGGGGCGAAAGAC